CCUGAUCCAGCCAUGCCGCGUGUGUGAAGAAGGUCUUCGGAUUGUAAAGCACUUUAAGUUGGGAGGAAGGGCAGUAAAUUAAUACUUUGCUGUUUUGACGUUACCGACAGAAUAAGCACCGGCUAACUUCGUGCCAGCAGCCGCGGUAAUACGAAGGGGGCUAGCGUUGCUCGGAAUCACUGGGCGUAAAGGGCGCGUAGGCGGCCAUUCAAGUCGGGGGUGAAAGCCUGUGGCUCAACCACAGAAUUGCCUUCGAUACUGUUUGGCUUGAGUAUGGUAGAGGUCGGUGGAACUGCGAGUGUAG
rnacentral:rRNA from 1 species